rnacentral:rRNA from 1 species
UACGUAGGUGGCAAGCGUUGUUCGGAAUUAUUGGGCGUAAAGGGCGCGUAGGCGGUCUUGUAAGUCAGCUGUGAAAUCCCUCGGCUCAACUGAGGAACUGCCUUUGAAACUGUCGUGCUUGAGUCCGGGAGGGGGUAGCGGAAUUCCCAGUGUAGCGGUGAAAUGCGUAGAUAUUGGGAGGAACACCAGUGGCGAAGGCGGCUACCUGGACCGGUUCUGACGCUGAUGCGCGAAAGCGUGGGUAGCAAACAGGA